AAAGUCGUAACAAGGUUUCCGUAGGUGAACCUGCGGAAGGAUCAUUAACACGUAUCCAAACGUUAAACCCCCCUGUGCAUCUUAAUCCUGCUCGCUUUCGCCUUGACAAAGCAAUCUCUGGUAAAUCAUUGCCCAAACAGUGUUGAUUCAGAGACCUCUUUCGAAACACGAAUCCAUGGAGCGGCAGAUCAAUAGGCUUGGCUUCCAACGGAGGGAGGAUAACUUGGUAACAUCCAAGGUCGUUGGCUUACACGGUCAACGGACAAGUCUCUGGGCGUAAAGCCCCAGCUAACAAAACCCAGUAGGUGAAAGUAGUCCCGCGUAAAGUAGGGACACAAAAACGAACAACUGUUAACAAUGGAUAUCUUGGUUCUC
rnacentral:misc_RNA from 1 species